GACCAGUGAUAGCUCAGUUGGUAGAGCGUCAAGACUCUUAAUCUCAGGUUCGCGGGUUUGAGCCCCAUGUUGGGCA